rnacentral:rRNA from 1 species
AUUGAACGCUGGCGGCAGGCCUAACACAUGCCAGUCGAGCGGGGACUUCGGUCCUAGCGGCGAACGGGUGAGUAAUGCUUGGGAAUCUGCCCAGUAGUGGGGGAUAACGUCCCGAAAGGGACGCUAAUACCGCAUACGUGCUACGGGAGAGUGAGUGGGAUCUUUGGACCUCUCGCUAUUGGAUGAGCCCAAGUCGGAUUAGCUAGUUGGUAGGGUAAUGGCCUACCAAGGCGACGAUCCGUAGCUGGUCUGAGAGGAUGAUCAGCCACACUGGAACUGAUGCACGGUCCAGACUCCUACGGGAGGCAGCAGGGGGGAAUAUUGGACAAUGGGCGAAGGCCUAAUCCAGCCAUGCCGCGUGUGUGAAGAAGGCCUUCGGUUUGUAAAGCGAUUUAAGCGGGGAGGAAGGUUCGCGGCCUAAUACGUCGCAGAAUUGACGGUACCCGCAGAAUAAGCACCGGCUAACUCUGUG